rnacentral:rRNA from 1 species
GACGAACGCUGGCGGCGUGCUUAACACAUGCAAGUCGAGCGAUGAAGCACCUUCGGGUGUGAAUUAGCGGCGAACGGGUGAGGAACACGUGAGAAAUCUGCCUUCAACUCUGGGAUAACUCCGUGAAAACGGGGCUAAUACCGGAUCUGAAACCUGCGGGCCUCCGCGGGUUUGGAAAGUUUUUCGGUUGAAGAUGAUCUCGCGGCCUAUCAGCUUGUUGGUGAGGUAAUGGCUCACCAAGGCGACGACGGGUAGCCGGCCUGAGAGGGCGACCGGCCACACUGGGACUGAGACACGGCCCAGACUCCUACGGGAGGCAGCAGUGGGGAAUAUUGGGCAAUGGAGGAAACUCUGACCCAGCGACGCCGCGUGCGGGAUGAAGGCCUUCGGGUUGUAAACCGCUUUCAGCAGGGAAGAAGCGAAAGUGACGGUACCUGCAGAAGAAGCACCGGCUAACUAUGUGCCAGCCGCCGCGGUAA